UUUGGUGCUAAAUUCGUAAAUACAGUAAUUACUACAUAGCAUUACUGCAUAUUGAACUACUUUUUUCUGUCAAAUUUGUUGUAUAACAUGAUGUUUUGGUGCUUAAUUUGUAAAAUCAUAACCUAAUUUGAUGUUUAAUAGGCUUUUCCUUAAUCCCUCCUUAUUAUCCAAAUUAUUCGCUUAUCCAACAUUCUGACAGCCCGUUUAUGUUGGAUAAGUGAGACUCUACUGUACCUGCAUUUACUCAGAUAGGAUGAACUUUCCUUAUUCCAAAAUACACCAAAAUCCAAAAAUGUCCACGUAAGUGGAUGAGAUAGUGAUGCUUUUACUUUUUGAUGGUUCAGUGAACCCAAACUUUUUUUCAUACACAAAAUGGUAAAAAAAAAUUGUGUGCAAAAUUACUUACAGGAUAUGUAGUUAAAGUAUAUAGGAAACAGAAAUGAUUUUGUUUUCGUUUAAUCUUGGGUCCCAUCUCUAAGAUUUCAUUAUGCAAAUGCAGGUAUUCCAAUAAAUCAUCCAGAUGCAGCAGAAAGCAGAGGCUUUACUAUCUCGAACAAUUUUGGAGUAUUUUGGGUUUCAGAAUUUCAAGAUAUUCCAUCUGUAUUAUUUUUCUACUUAUUUUUAUUUAUUCUAAGGUUUAUUAUUGAAUGGGCUUGGGAUUUUUUUGGUCUUGCGAGCCUCCUUGGGAGUAUUUUGUAUCUGAAAACGGUAUCCCAAAGAUAGUUAAAUUAAAAUAUAUAAACAGUGGCCAAGGCAUUCUUUUUUAGAUACCCAAGGGCUGUGGCAUUAGAGCUUGUAGCCUAAUGAACGCCCAAGUGCAUUGCUCUAUGUUGUCAUUCAAAUUCAAGAGGUCCCCUCCCCACUGCGUCCAAGAGGAGAGGUUCUGUGUUUUGCCCUUUCAUAGCAGGCUGCCAACUAAAUGUGGAAUUGGUUUCAUUACCUGGUCUGAUUACUGGAGAGGGUGACUCAGGCUGAGGAGAUAUUCUCUGCUUGCUUCCUGUAAUUUUCCUUCCAUGCAGAUAGCUAGGUUGUUAAAUGGCUAUUUUUAGUAGGCACUGGAGUACGGUGACCCUUUGUGGCUCCUUCUUGAAUAAAGGAAGAGUACGGCUGGUGGGGGCACAGUGGGUCUCACCGCAGAGGAGAAAGGACUAUAAUCGCUUUUAGAUGAAGAAAGUGCUUGCAAAUUAUUUGUCUCCUGCAGGCAGAUGAGAUUUAAUAGAGGGGGAGAAAGGAGUCUGAAAUCGACAAACACGCAAAGCAUGCAUAGAAUUAGUUUGCAUUACUUAAAAUAAGGUGUCGCAUUGGGGAGUAUGUUUACAGUUUUCCCCCUAAAUGUAUAAAUAUGACAAUUAACUCAAUAGUGAUAUCUCUGCGUAUGUUCUGGUAAAAUCAAGAUGAUACAUCAUGCUGCAUUUGAAAGACUUCACACACCAGCACAUGCACACAUUUCUUUUAAUUUAACACUUUCUUUCCUGUUCUAAAUAAAAGACUGGUGAGGGUAUGUUAUAUUCAAUAUCACCAAUGUUUUGAAUGCUGAAGAGAAAACUGAGUGGGUUCAUUGUGCGCUUCCUAUUCAUUGCUCUUUUUCUGUUGGGUGAUACUUUGAGGGAAAAAGCACUCCCUUUCUUGGGUGAUGCCAUUAGAUAAUCUGAACAAUAAACGAAAGCCUGUGUUAUACAAUAAUAAAUCUCAAGGCUUGCUGAUGCGGUUGCCAUGCCUGGCAUGUAGAAUUUUUUAAAAAAGAUUCCCCUUGCCACUUGUUCUUUUCUCCAACUGGAAAGCAAUACUCCUGGAUGUUUACAGGCCUGGCAGUUUAUAUUAAAAUAGGUCUCUUUCUGUCUUCUCCCCCUGCCUGCAAAGGUCCCAGAAUAUUUCUUAAACAUCCAGUAGGGACUUUCAGAUUUAUGUUUCUUUGAAAAUGGUAUUGAUAAAUCAAGGGUCAUUCCACAGAGAGAGGAAAACACUGGCAUUGCUUCAAGGGGGACCUGCAUCUGCCCACUGCCAUCACUUUCAUAAGGACAGAAAUGAUGCCAUACAGGUUACUUUCAGGAUUGCCUUCUCCAGUACAAUCUGCCCCACACACUUAAGAUUGUCUGGGGAGGGGGCAGGUACUCCAGCCUGCCAGAACCCAAGUGCCGACUGUCACCCAGAGGACCUUUCAUUUGCUGCCCCAAGACCGUGGAAUGACCUGCUGGAAGAAGUUCAACAGCUAGAUUAGCUGUCAGAAUUGAAGACACAGUAGAAGAGCCAUCUCUUCUGACAAGCCUAUUCAGUGAGUUUUAACUUGUUAAUUUUAAUUUUAACUGUGGAUUUUAACUUGCAUUUUAACUUUGUGUAUCAUGUUAUAUGUCUUUUAAUAGUGUUUUAACUCUUGUUUUAAUGAUGUUAUAUUCCACCUUGAACCUAUGGAGCCUCUGGUGGCCUAGGGGAUAAAAGCCUUGUGACUUGAAGGUUGGGUUGCUGACCUGAAGGCUGCCAGGUUUGAAUCCCACCUGGGGAGAGUGCAGAUGAGCUCCCUCUAUCAGCUCCAGCUCCAUGCGGGGACAUGAGAGAAGCCUCCCACAAGGAUGGUAAAAACAUCAAAACAUCCAGGCGUCCCCUGGGCAACGUCCUUGCAGACGGCCAAUUUUCUCACACCAGAAGCAACUCAGGUUGCUCCUGACACACACAAAAAAAACUUGAGCCACAGGGAGAGGUGGAUAAUAAAUUUGUUGUUGUUGUUGUUGUUGUUGUUGUUGUUGUUGUUGUUAUUGUUGUUUUAUUGUAGAAAGAGUAAAGGAUGUCAGUGCUUCUUUUAGAUCCUCCCAGGAAGGACUAAGCUCUUCCUUUUGUCACUUUUUUGUAUAAGUGUUAAGGUGCACUACUUAUAUUGACCCAUUAAGUCAACUCAGGUUUUGGGGGUCAAUUUCAUGUCUAAUAUUUCUAGACUUAUAUAUGGAUAUAUAUAGUAAACUGCAGACAAAGGGGGAAGGUGAGAGGAGGAGAGAGAAACUGGAACAUUGUAAAGUAGGACAGACUACUUAUUGGGAUGCUUCCUAUUAAAAUGAGACAGUUGGAGGGUAUGUCAGGGACUUCCUUCUCAGAAAAUGGGCAAAAAGAUGCAACAUUAAAUUCCCUUUCUUUUUGUUAUUGUUGUGAGUUGUGGCAUCCUGAGGGCUCCAUCACUGAGUUUUCUUGGCUAGAUUUGUUCAGAUGGUUAUUAUUAUUAUUAUUAUUAUUAUUAUUAUUAUUAUUAUUAAUUCCCCACCUUUCUCCCUGUGAGAACUCAAAGCGCCUAAUACUCCACACUAGGCAAAUUUAAAAAGUGCAAUACAAAAGUUAAAAAGCAAUUAAAAAGCAAUUAAAUAGUAGCAGUGUGGUAAAAACAAAAUACAGUAGAUAUACUAAAAUGGCAUUUAAAAAUCAUAUUCCCACCAAUCCCACCCCUGAACUAAAAACCACAGCACAAUGAUCUUACAAACCUCCAUCUUUAAAAGUCUGCCUAAAUGAAAAGGUUUUUGCCUACCGCUGGAAGGACAGCAGGGAGGGGGCCAUUCUGGUAUCCCUGGGAAGGGAGUUCCAGGGUUGAGGGGCAGCCACCGAGAAGGCCUUCCCUCUCGUUCCCACCAACUAAGUUUGAGAUGGAGAUGGGACCGAGAGAAGGGCCUCUCCUGAAGAUCUCAGGGUUUGGGAAGGUUCGUAUUACCAUCCAUCCAUCCUCUUUUUAAAGACCUCCAAAGUCCAGCAUUCCUUGAGAAACUAUCAAACAGCCACUACAAUAAAGAAGUUCUUCCUAAUGUUCAGUUAGAAUAUCUUUUUUUGCAAUUUGAAUCCACUGAUUUGUGUUUGUGUCUGUAGUAGUAAAAAGGAAGCUAGUCCCAUCUUCUACAUCAGUGUGAUCCAACCCGUGGCCCGCGGGUUGUAUAUGGUCCACCAAUUCAUUUUUGUUGGCCCUUGCCCUUCUUACUGGAAAAAUAUUUUAAUUUAACAUUUGGAAAAAAAUCAUUUACCCUUCUUACUGCUUUAAGUUUUUAAGAAACAUUUUCUUUCUGGAAUAUCUCUGGCCCUCACUAAAGUUUGAUUGGCACUCGGGUAACUAAAGGUUGGACCACACUGUUGUACAUUACAUCCCUUCAGCUUUUUAAAUACUGCAUAGGCAUCAUGAUACCUCUCAGUUUCUUCUCCAAGCCAGGUAUAACCAGCUCUCCAAGUCAUUUCUUAUAAUUAUUGAUUUCCAGAUCUUUAUCUUAGUCACCCAUCCCAGCUUGUCAAUAUCCUUCUUGAAUUGUGGUGCUCAGAACUGGACACAAUAUUCCAGGUGAUUAUAUUCCAAAGCAGAAUAGAGUGAUAUUACUAUUUUCCAUAGGACACUAUGCUGCUGGUGAUGCAGCCUUGCAAACUGUAGCACAUUUCUGCUCCACCAGCUGUAGCUUGGAGCCGAGCCCACCAAAACUGUAAAAUGUUUACCUUCAUCUGCUACCUGGAGAGGACAAGUGAAAACUGAAGACUUAGGGCCAGGCAAUGAGAUUUGACAACCCUACAAUACAUUUCACUGGUGAGGCCAAUAUCUGUCUUAUCUUGCCUGCCAUUUUUCUUGUUCUGCAAGUUAAUAUUAAUCCAAGUACACUGAGUGCCAAAAGAAGCACUCCAGUUCAGGUGACUGUUUAUUGCUGGAAUCGCUUGAGCUGCUGCACAGAUCGUUUGGAUAAAUGAAGUAAUUUAUACUGAAAAUCUUCCCUCCCAUUAAGCCAAUGAAAUGCAGCAGAACAGCUUACUGCCGUUCCCCCUCUUGAGCCUGCUUAAGGGGGUGGCCUCUCUAAAGGUAACUGAAGUCGCUGGGUGACUGCCUGAAACUUUUGACAGAGGUCUUUGCAAAACCAUUUUAGCAGCUUAUGGGUGGCUUAAGAGCUUAAUUCAUCACUGUAGGCUGUCUCAGCACUUUGUGAGGAGGGGGCCAAUUUUUCUUUUGCUGACCAUUGUUGCUUUUCUCCCCACUUACAGUGAGCAAUAUGUAGUUGUUGCAGCCAGAGUCAGCUUUUAUAUUAAGUGAAGGAAAACAGCCAAAUUCCCAGGUGUCUCAAAUGCGAUGGGGAGGCUUUGAAAAAAGUACCACCAGGCAGACUAGUUUAAGAGAAAUGAAGGACUGGGAGGGAGGGAGUGAAUGUUAACAUUUUUCACGGUCAUUUUAUCAUUAUAGCAUUAUGCCAUCAUUGUACAUGGACAAAGCAACAAGCAAAUUACAUUUGUAUAGAUAUGCAAAACUUUGGGUAACAGGAAACUAUUGAAAUGAAAAUGUCUGGCCUAGGAAUACCAUUGGGUCAUGCAUCAAGUCACCUAGACAAUGUCUAGAGAUGACAUAUUUUGAAAGAUGUAGGUAAAUGAAACUGUAGAUACAGAUCUCACAGGUAUAGGGGCUAUAUAGCAGAAAGGUAAAAGUGACAGCAAAUAAAUUGUGCCAAUGCUGUUAAGGUAAAGGUUUUCCCCUGACGUUAAGUCCAGUCAUGUCUGACUCUGGGGGUUGGUGCUCAUCUCCAUUUCUAAGCCAAAGAGCCGGCGUUGUCCGUAGACACCUCCAAGGUCAUGUGGCCAGCAUGACUGCAUGGAGCGCCAUUGCCUUCCUGUUGGAGCAGUACCUAUUGAUCUACUCACAUUGGCAUGUUUUCAAACUGCUAGGUUGGCAGAAGCUGGAGCUAACAGCAGCCGCUCACACUGUUCCCGGGGUAUGAACCUGGGACCUUUCGGUCUGCAAGUUCAGCAGCUCAGUGCUUUAACACACUUCGCCACCGGGGCCCCAUAAAGAGGCAUUAACUACCCCCAAAAUUACUAUGGAAUGCUCACUUCUUGGUGGUAUGACCAGAAGCAGUCUUGGCACUGUUGACAUUGUCCCUGAUAUGUUUAGAAAAAGCAUGCAUGUACAUUCCUACUGAGUGUGAAUUGGUGGGCAGAGGAGAGGAGAUAGGUCACACUGGUCUCCUACUGCCAAACCCACAAUCAUGACAGAGAUAUUGUGGAUUAGUAUUAAUGUAUCUCUCACACAUAGUUAAAAGUAGAGUUAAAAUUGCUGGAAGAAACACUAACAACCUUAGAUACGCAGAUGAUACCAUUUUGAUGGCUGAAAGUGAGGAGGAGCUGAGGAGUCUUAUCACCAAGGUGAAAGAAGAAAGUGCAAAAUCUGGGGUGCAGUUAAACAUUAUAAAAAACCCAAGAUUAUGGCAACCAGACUGAUUGAUAACUAGCAAAUAGAGGGAGAAAACGUGGAGGCAGUGACAGACUUGGUAUUUCUAGGCGCAAGAUUACUGCAGACACAGACUGCAGCCAGGAAGUCAGAAGACGUUUUCUUCUUGGGAGGAGAGCAAUGACCAAUCUUGAUAAAAUAGUGAAGAGUAGAGACAUCACACUGGCAACAAAGGUCCGCAUAGUUAAAGCAAUGGUAUUCCCCGUAAUAACCUAUGGAUGUGAGAGCUGGACUAUAAGGAAGGCUGUGCGAAGGAAGAUAGAUACUUUUGAACUUUGGUGCUGGAGGAAAAUCCUGAGAGUGCCUUGGACCGCAAGAAGAUCCAACCAGUCCAUCAUUCAGGAAAUAAUGCCCGGCUGCUUACUGGAGGGAAGGAUAUUAGAGGCUAAGAUGAAGUAUUUUGGCCAUAUAAUGAGAAGAUAGGAAAGCUUGGAGAAGAUAAUAAUGCUGGGGAAAAUGGAAGGAAAAAAGAAGAAGGGCCGACCAAGGGCAAGAUGGAUGGAUGGUAUCCUUGAAGUGACUGGCUUGACCUUGAAGGAACUGGGGGUGGUAGCGGCUGACAGGGAGUUCUGGUGUGGACUGGUCCAUGUGGUCACAAAGAGUCAGAAGCGAUUGAACGAAUAAACAACAAAACUCACACACAAAAACACACACACUUUGGGGGUUAAAGUCUAGAACCCUAGUAUAGCCCUCCUUGGAUGCAUCUACACUGCAGAAUGAAUGCAGUUUGACACCACUUUUAAUUACCAUGGCUCAGUACUGUGCAAUCCUGGGAGUUGUAGUUUGGUGAGGAACCAGCAUUCUUUGGCAGAAAAGGCUGAAGGCCUUGUAAACUACUGCCCCCAUGAAUCCAUAGCACUGAACCACAGCAGUGAAAGUGGUGUCAGAUUGCAUUAAUUCCAGUGCAGAUUCACCUAAGGACUUUGGAAUCACCCAAAGCAUGUAUGCUGUUUGAUAACACUGAGAAUACAAUUAUUCAGUGUAUGGAAUCCUAGGAUUUAUAGUUUGUAGAACUGCAACUCCCAGGAUUACAUAGCAUUGUGCCAGGGCAAUUAAAGUGGUGUCAAGCUGCAUUCAUUCUAUAGCACAGAUUCACCCAAGAAAACUGAGGCAGGAUAAAUGGAAGAGGCUCCUUGUGGGAAGGGUUACCUAUUUCUCUGGUUUUCCUUUCAGUAGCUGGAAGGUUGAGUGUCCCAACACUUUGGCUUUUAAAGAAGCAGUUCUAAGAAGGUAGCAACUGUAAUGCACAUCUUUUCUGACCAAAUUUCAAGGAGUGCACUUUUGCAGCUGCUCAUUACAUUGGCCAGCAAAUACGUUUUUUGGUUUCGGGGUUUUGAAAAUUGAGGUGUGUAUUACAUUCGAUGGCACACUAGAUUCAAAUAAAUAUGGUAUUUAUGUGAUUGUGCAGUUUUUAGGAAUGAAUCUCAAAGACUGAUUAUUAUAAAUAAUUUUUGUGACUGUUAAUUAUUGUUGUUAUUUUUUAAAAGUCCUACAAAAAUAGAUUGCACAAAUAACAUCCCUGAGUCAUGGAGAAUGUGUUGGGGAGAAUAUUCUUUUCACUCCCUUGUUAAUGCAAAGGAGGUGUUCAAGAAGAGUGAAAGGCAGGCAAGUGACUGUCAUAUUGCUCCUGCAGUUCUGUCAAAUCAAAGCAAAGUGUGAUCAGUGCAAUUUUCCAUCACCUGGAUCAGUCUUCAUACUGUGUUGACAGAGAGCUCACUGCUUAUGUAAUGCAUGUAGGUUUGCUGCCUCAGCAGCAUCUUACACCCUGAAAUUUCAAGGCCUAAACCAAAGUUAGAGGGUAAGCUUCUUGUAAUGCGAUAGAUGGUGGGGCAUUUGGACUGGGGAGACAAGGACUAGGAAAUCACAGUGUUUGGACAGGAAAGGGUUGAGAAGGAGGCUGGCAUUGUGAGAGAGAAUGGUUCCAGAAUCUGGGUCAAGCCUGGCUACCCAGGUGAUAUGGCAACUCUGAACUGGUGGACAGGAAGUAUUUCUGGCAGCCAGGAACUCUGUGAAAUAUUUGCAGUGCUUGAUACCUUUGACAUUAAGCAUUGGGUCUCUCAUAUCCUUUACUUACAACCUCAUCAGACAGGAUGAUUUACCCGUUGUACACCACUUCUUCUCCUCUUUCCCCAUGAAGCCCUUCCAACAACACACAUCAGCUUCUGGCCAGGCUCCAUAGUGAAAGAGGAGAGCAAAUGGCUCAUGUCACCACCACAAAAAUACGGGAGGCUUCCCAUGUUGCCUUAGGAACAAUGAAGGGAAGCUGGGAGGCGAUGCUUCCCCCCAUGGGAUGGGGGUCCAGGUAACUUUGAAUAUGUUUUAAUGGUUUUUCACUGUGGAAUUUUUAAUACUGUUUAUAUUUAAUUCUGUUUUAAUGUUUGCAUAUUUGUGUAUUUUAAAUUCUAUACAAAUGCUUUUAUGUUAAGCUGCUUUGAGUCUCCACUAGGAAAGAUGAAGCGGGGUAUAAAUAAAUAUGAUGAUGAUGAUGAUGAUGAUGAUGAUGAUGAUGAUGAUGAUGAUUAUUAUUAUUAUUAUAACCAGCUGAUGACCCAAAAUGCAUACUGUGCAACGAAACCGACGAAACCAUUGAUCAUAUCCUCAGCUGCUGUAAGAAAAUCGCACAGACAGACUACAAACAGAGGCACAACUAUGUGGCCCAAAUGAUUCAUUGGAACUUAUGCCUCAAGUACCACCUCCCUGCAGUAAAGAACUGGUGGGAUCACAAACCUGCAAAAGUAUUGGAAAAUGAGCACUCAAAGAUACUGUGGGACUUCCGAAUCCAGACGGACAAAGUUCUGGAACACAACACACCAGACAUCAUAGUUGUGGAAAAGAAAAAGGUUUGGAUCAUUGAUGUUGCCAUCCCAGGUGACAGUCGCAUUGAUGAAAAACAACAGGAAAAACUCAGCCGCUAUCAGGACCUCAAGAUUGAACUUCAAAGACUCUGGCAGAAACCAGUGCAGGUGGUCCCGGUGGUGAUUGGCACAUUGGGUGCCGUGCCAAAAGAUCUCAGCUGGCAUUUGGAAACAAUUGACAUUGACAAAAUUACGAUCUACCAACUGCAAAAGGCCACCACACUGGGAUCUGCACGCAUCAUCCAAAAAUACAUCACAGAGUCCUAGACACUUGGGAAGUGUUCGACUUGUGAUUUUGUGAAACGAAAUCCAGCAUAUCUAUCUUGUUUGCUGUGUCAUAUUAAAAUAAUAAUAAUAAUGUGGGUGAUGUGGGGCAUGGAGCGGUGGGUUCGCCACAUCCUCUGCCGGGACCCCCAUGGAUUCGCCACAAUGCGUGACAAAUCCUUACUCUAAUACGAUAAGGUCCUUACAGAAUACAUGAAACAUGGGAAGUUCUUCUAGACUCUGAAUCCCUGCUGGGUAUUGUGGAAAGCACACUGCAAGUCCUUAAGGAGGUUCUAUACUGUUGCUACCAGGACUUGUCCAUCAAGAAGCCUGAUGAAUUACAGUUGGCUCUCUACAUUUGUGGGUUUAACGUUUUUAGAUUUUAUUAUUUGCAGGUAUGAUUUAUACGGUUUCUCUAGAAAUCUCUAGGUCCUCCAGAAACAAUGGUCAACUGCCAGCAGAAGAACCUAGAUAUUCAUAGAGAGGUGUUUUCUCAUGCAAAAAUUGUGUCCUUUUAUUUGCAUUUCCCCCACUUUUGUGGAGGGUCCCAACUCUGAUGAAAACGGAGGGCUUAUUGUAUAAUGUUGGUGUUCCAUUCCUUUCUUUGCUUUGCUCCAAAUGACACAAUGUAUGGAGAGCAGGCACUCACCAUCUCAGUCCACCCCCUGACCUUUUGGUGGAAUGGACGUAAAAUCCUUUCCUUUUGAGUUCUGGGCAUGGAUGGUUUAUAAAUGACCUCCAAUAUAUAAAGCAAACUUCAUCUGCCUCUCGAGCUGCUCACUCUGAAAUUUAUCUUCUUGCCUAGCAGCUUCAGAAAGACAGGCAUUCCCUGAUGCUUCAUCUACUCUGGACCUGAGACCGGGCAACCAAAGAUGUGUUGAAUCUCUUGUACAAAUUAUCUCAUUUGCACAUGGUCACUUAUCUCAUAUGCCCUAUACCUACAGCAGUCUGCUAAAAUCUAGAGAUCCUUUAAGAAGGGCUUUCUCUGAGUCCUAUCUCAAUCACACUCCAAUCUGAUGAUGGCGCAGGACAGAGCCUUCUUGGUGCUUCCUCCUAAGCUGUGGAAUUCCUUUCUACGAGAGGCAAGGCUGACCCAGUGUCUGAUCUCUUUCUACUGGCAGGCAAAGAGUUUUAUAUUCAAACAGUCAUUUGAUGAGUUUCAGGAAUUUGAUAGUUUGUAUGAAGUCAUUUUUAUGGGGAAGAGUGUGAGAUAUAUAUAUAUAUAUAUAUAUAUAUAUAUAUAUAUAUAUUCUGGAAUAUGGCUUUGGAUUGCAUGGUUUUAACUAACUUGUCUUAUGAUUGAUUUUUUGUGUGCCAGGAGUGACUUGAGAAACUGCAAGUCACUUCUGGUGUGAGAGAAUUGGCUGCCUGCAAGGACGUUGCCCAGGGGAUGCCUGGAUGUUUGAUGUUUUAUCAUCCUUGUGGGAGGCUUCUCUCAUGUCCCUGCAUGGAGCUGGAGCUGACAGAGGGAGCUCAUCUGCACUCUCCCCAGGUUGGAUUCGAACUGACAACCUUCAGGUCAGCAAGCCAAUCUUCAAGUCAACAGUCUGCCAGCACAAGGGUUUAACCCAGCGCCACCGAGGGCUCUUAAUAAUUGAUAUGUUUUAAUUAUUGGUUUUAAUUUAUAUGAUGGUUUUACUUAUGUAUGUAUAUGUGGCAUUGAAUUGUGCCUUUUUUUGUGAGCUGCCCUGACUCCCCUUUGAUGUGAGAAGGGUGUGAUAUAAAUGCAGUGAAUAAAUUAUAUAUAUAUAUAUAUAUAUAUAUAUAUAUAUAUAUAUAUAUAAACACUUGAUUAUUGGAUUUUUUUAUAAUAACAAUUUAAUAAUACAUUUCAUUGUGCUUUAACUCUUUGUUAUAUAUUUUAGCCUUUUUCCUUCUUAUAGGCUUUUUGUACAUUUCCUUGAGUUCCAUGCCGAGCAAAAGACAGGAUAUUAAAUGCAUUUCAUACCGAUACUUUCCACAUACCCUUUGAUUGCAUUGCCAACUCCUCUGCUGAACUCCUUCCGACAUACAAUAAACAGAUUUUUUUGCAUUGUGAGGUGAUGCCAUUUUCCCUUAAGCUCCUGUGUUAUCAGACUGUUUCUAAGAACUGCAAUUAGGUGUGAAGGGCUGGUGUUGCCAGGUUUUUGAAGCAGCAAUAAGGGACAGUUGAAAUUCGUGACAUGCAGGGUUGACAAUCAGGAAACAGCUAUUACCAAGUUUGCAUCUACCUAAAUACCAAAUGAAAGUAUUGAUUUCAGUUAACCUAGUAGCCAAGCCAUGUAUUUCUCUGCAAAAUUAGCAUAUGGCCCACAGUCCCAAAUUAGUCUUGAUAAAAUGCUCACAUUCCCAGACACAUGCUUUUUUGUGGCAUCUUGUACAGUAUAUAUGAAAUCAAAAAAAGAAAAUUGGGGACAUGACUUAAAAUGAGGGAUAUUUGCCCGGCCCUGUAAGAUAGAAGAUUUCCACCCCUCAAAUAAGGAGCAUCUCUUAUAAUAAGGGAUACCUUAUUCUAGCUACUGCCUGUAAGCAAGGUUGCAAGGUAUCCCUUAUUAUAAGAGAUGCUUUGCAACCUUGCUUACAGGCAAUAGCUAGAAUUACUUCAAAACACUACAUAAAUACGUAUUUUUCUUUUUGUUAAAUUCAUCCAAAGGAGAAACAAACAAAAAGGUUGACCUGCUUGUUUUUCUCCAGAUCUCCAUGUUCUGUACUUUCUUUUAAUACCUCAUUUGUUGUUGUUUUUUUCUGUGAACCUAGAUACUCUGAAAGGUAAAUGUGUCCAAAGACAUUGAUUCCACACAUAGUAGAGUUUUUCACUUUUUCUCAACAAUUGUUCAUGAAGUAUAAAUAAAUCAUAAAUGUAUGAAUGAUUGGUAACCUUAGCCCAGGUUGAAACACCUAUGAUUCAGGAUCUCAAGGAAGGAUACAUAUUUAUUUUCACUGGCCAUAACCUACAGGGGAUCUGGGAGACAUAUGUUAGUUAUUGUUCUGAUAGAAGUCUAGUGCUUCUGUAAGGUUACCUUAACAUGAUUUUACACUGUAUUUUUGUAACCAACAGUCUUAGCUAAUCUGCUCUAAACAUGAUUAUUCCAGCACUAUGAUGUUUUUAAGAGCCCUUCUGUUUUCAUAUCUUUUUAUCCAUCUCCUUCUGUUCUAAGAAUUGAGAAGAAAGAAUAGAUUAGGGAAACAAUUUUAGCUCCAUUCUGACUUCACAUUCCAUGGAUCUGGAAAAUGUAGUUUCAUCAAGGACUGCAUAUAUUUCAAGUAGCUCUAGAAAAUCCACAUUGCUAUGUGCAGUUGCAUUAGAUAUCAGAGUGAGUGGAGAGAGACCUUCUGCUAAAACUGUGUCUCUCGGGAAAUGUUAGGGACUGGCAAACUUUUUUCUACUGUACCUGUAACUAGUACAAUAUUUACAUUCAAUAACUACAACUACAAUGGCCCCCGGUGGCACAGCGCGGUAAACCACUGAGCUGCUGAACUUGCUGACCGAAAGGUUGGCGGUUUGAAUCCAGAGAGCAGGAUGACCCCUAUCGUAAGCUCCAGCUUUUGCUAACCUAGCAGUUUGAAAGCAUGCAAAUGUGAGUAGAUCAAUAGGUACUGCUUGGACAGGAAGAUAACGGUGCUCCAUGCAGUCAUGCUGGCUACAUGACCUUGGAGGCGUCUACAGACAAUGCCAGCUCUUCAGCUUAGAAAUGGAGAUGAAACUAUCCCCCAAAGUUGAACAUGACUAGACUUAAUUUCAAGGGGAAAUCUUUACUUUAACUAUAACUAUGUCUUUUUUUUCUCCUGGAAACUUUCUGCAGAUUGACAGCCAAUGUCUUGCAGAUUAAGGCCCCAUGUACACUGCCAUAUAAUCCAGUUUGUGAAUCCAGAUUAUCCACUUUGAACUGGAUCAUAUGGAAAUGUAGAUUCAUUUAAUCCAGUUCAAAGCAGACAAUCUAGAUUCAGAAACUGGGUUGUAUGGCAGUGUAGAUCCAGCCUGAGACUGUUCUGGGACCUCCACUUUGAGUAGCACUAGAUAUAGGAAGCAUAUAACUGGCUUGCUGAAACAGCUUUGCUGGCUACCAGCCUACUUUUGGGCAGAAUUCAAAAUAUUUUUUAUGGCCUACAUAGCUUAGGUCUAACCUAGCUGGAAGACACAUAUCCUUCUAUAAAAGCCUAGCCUAAUUUUAAGAUUACUAAAAGUCAACUUGGAUUUCUCAAAAUCAAGUCAUGCCAGACUAAUCUUAUCUCUUUUUUCAAUAGAGUUACAAACUUGGUAAAUGCAGGGAAUGCUGUGGAUGUAGCAUAUCUUGAUUUCAGUGAAGCCUUUGACAAGGUCUCCCAUGACCUUUCACAAACCAACUAGUCAAAUGUGGGCUAGGCAAUGCUACUAUUCAGUGGAUCUGUAAUUGCUUAAGCAGCCAACCCCAAAUGUCCCCACCAGUGGUUCCACUUCAUUCUGGACUAGUGGAGUGCCACAGAGUUCAGUCCUGGGUCCAGUUGUGUUCAACAUCUUUAUUAAUGACUUAGAUGAAGGUUUAGAGAACAUGAAUAUUAAGUGUGCAGAUGACAAUUGCAAAGGACAGGAUUGGUAUUCAAAAUGACCUUAACAGAGUAGAGAGCUGGGCCAAAACUAACAAAAUGAAUUUCAACAAGGACAAAUGUAAGAUACUACACUUUGUCCAAAAAACAAACAAACCCACAACAAAAUGCAAAGAUACAAAAUAGAUGACGCCUGACUUGACAACAGUCCAUGUGGAAAAGAUAAAUAAUAAUAAUAAUAAAACUUUAUUUAUACCCCGCCACCAUCUCCCCAACGGGGACUCGGGGCGGCUUACAUGGGGCCAUGCCCAAGACAAUACAAUAAACCAUAACAUAAUACAAUUAAAUAAUACAUUACAUAAAAUAAACAGUACAACAUAAGAUCAAAACAGCAAUAUAACACGAGCGGGCCGCAUGAAUACUACAUUUAAAAACUAGAUUAAAAAUUAAAACUCUGGGUGAGAAAGGGAUCAGAAUAAAACCUCGAGGGACGGGACAUCAGAUAGUGAACCAGUCUAGAGGAUAAAUAUCGGGGGGGAGUAGCAUAGAACAUUUACUCUCCGAAAGCACACCGGAAGAGCCAUGUUUUUAAAUCUUUCCUGAAGGCUAAAAGGGUGGGGGCUUGCCUGAUUUCAAUGGGCAGCGAGUUCCACAAGCGAGGGGCCACCGCAGAGAAGGCCCUCUCCCUUGUUCCUACAAGGCGAGCCUGAGAUAUAGGUAGUUGCGACAGGAGGGCCUCCCCCGAUGAUCGGAGAGGUCGGGCAGGUUUAUGAUAGGAGAUACGGUCACGAAGGUAGGCGGGUCCCAAACCGUUUAGGGCUUUAUAAAUGAUGGUCUGCACCUUGAAUUGGGACCGGAAGAUGAACAGUACCCUGCCCUUUUCACUCCGAAGGGGACUCAGAGCGGCCUUACAACGGCAACAAUUUGAUGCCACAUCAACAACAAAUAUAAAAUACACAUAUGCAUUAAAACAUAUAUUUAAGAGCCAUAUACAAAUUAAAACACGUUAUUAGAAUCACGCAAUCCGAUAUCAUAGUAAAAAAACGGUCAUUCCAGUUAAUAUUGCAGAUUUUCCAUCUUCAGUUAUUUCACUGUGCUAUUGGCCGAAGGCUUGGUCCCAGAGCCAUGUUUUUGCUUGCUUUCUGAAGGUCAGGAGAGAGGGUGCUGACCUGAUUUCACUGGGGAGGGAGUUCCAUGGCCAAGGGGACACCACUGAGAAGGCCCUGCCUGUCGUCCCCACCAACCGCACUUGCAAAGGAGGUGGGACCAAGAGCAGGGCCUCCCCCAAUGAUCUUAACCUCUGAGUUAGUUCAUUGAGGGAGAUGACUUCUCAGUGCUUCAUCACCAUCACAGAUACAUUGGGAAGGACUCAGGAGAAAGCCUUCUUGAUGGUUGCUCCCAAGCUAUGAAACUCUUCUAAGACAGGUUCAGUUGGCCCCCUCUCUGUUCUCUUUUUGUGGGCAGCUAAAUAUCUAAUUUAAACAGGUCUUCAAUUUUUAACUGGUUGGAGUAGUGCAAUGGUGGAUCAAUGUACAAUAGAUUUUCAUUAAUUUUAACUGUUUUUUAAGUGGAUUGUAGUUGAAUGCUUUUUUUUAAUUGUAUUUAUAUUAUUGAUCUAUUUAAAACAUACAAUGCAAGACAGUGAGUCUCAUAUGGGAAAAAAGCAAUUAAUAUCAACCCGUAUUGGAAUGAAGGAACUUUGCCUCAAGUCUGUCAUACUGGAGGACUUAGAAAAUGCCUAGAGAGGAUAUGUUUUGUCAGUUGUGGAUAAAUGAAACCAUGGAUAUUGUUUCUGGGGAUACUGAGGUAAUCACACACACACACACACAUACAAGCAUACAGCAUUGUGCUAUACCACUGCUUCUGACACUAUUCAGGUAAAUGGAUGGAAAUCUAUCUAUAUAUAUAUAAAAGAGUGAUGGAAUCACCGUAGCGGACAAAACAACAAAACUAAACACCCCACAACCUCGAAAACUGAUAGAACAACCCCUCAUCCACGCCUCUAGGUUGAUACAACAAAAACUACCACCAGUUCCUCAAUACUUCAUUUCCCAUACCACCAUACUUCGCCACAGCAAUGCGUGGCCAGGCACAGCUAGUGGUUUAUAUAGGUUUGAUGAAGCAGCACAACAGGAUAUGAAUACAUUUAUAUUUGUCUGGAAUAAAAAUAAUCCUUUCCUGAUUUGUGAGAAAAGGUGGAAGCUCCCCACAAUCCAAACCAAGGCAAUUUUAACACCAAAAACCUUGCCUAUCAGUGUGAUAUACUUGUGUAAGAAUAUAUCAAUAUUCUCCUUACUCAUGUAGAAAUGUUGGACAAAACAAAAUCAGACUAAAGACAGGGUUGUAUGAAUUAGUCCUGCAAUUUCCAUGUCAAUGAUAGAUUUUUUGGCUUGAGUAAUCUUUGUCUGGAGUAAUCAAUAUAUCUAAAUCAGAGGUUGUGUUUCAGAGUUUUGCCAUUCAAAGUGUAGCUCCAGCAUUCUGCAAGCCAUAUAUCUUCCCUGUCAAACAUCUAAUGUAUUGUGGUGUUCAUUUAGAACCUGAGUCUAGAGGCCUCUUGGCUGAUAGAAGAGAAUGGAUGGCUUUUUUAUUGAGUCCUGCAUAGCUGGCAGGCAACAGCAAAAAAGGAAGGGGGAAAUGGGCAGUAUUUGUAUCUAAAUGUCUAGUAAAUGUUCAGCCAACCACAAGGCAUUUGGACUCAUUUGAAUAACCACUGCGUGUUGAAACCUAUUAUUUGAUUCAGUUGAUAUUUUGGGCCAUUUGUCUCAUUCAUACCAGAAGGGCUGUGAGCAAAAGAAAAUUAAGAAGGAUUUAGAUUGGUACAGUGUAUGCUACCUUGCAGAAAAGUAGUCUGUUCCAAAACACCAGCAGAUGAUGUCUUUCUACCUGAGAAUUUCAUGAAACUAUCAUAGUUAUGCCAUUACUGCAUCUCACUUUUCAAUUAGCCAGUGCACAUUGCCAGGCUGGAAUCCUGCAGGCAAUGGUACAGGGGAAAGGGAACCAGGCUUGCUGCUUUCUGAAGCACUUAAGCUAGAAUGUGACAUUUGUAGGACUACCUGAUUGAUAAAGGAGUGAGGUUUGUCCAAAUCUACGAAUUCAUCCAUCUGCUUAAAAAGCAAUAUAUGGAAUGGAUGGUGACUGGGUCUUUAACCUACUGUUUCCAUCAUCCCUCACUGUUGGCUAUUCUUGAUAGUGCCAAGGGAUAUAGUCCUGGCUAGCACUGAAUCCAGAAUUCGAGAAAUGUUUGGCUGGCCUUGGUAAUCAACCAUUACACAGCCCAACCAAAAAAAAACUUGGUGUCUUGGUUUUUGGGCCUGUUCCUGGUGUUAUUUGGGGUGCUGAGCCAGAAAAUUGCAUUGAAUAGACUGCAUUAGCUCUAGAUUCUUUGAUAUGGUUAUCAUGCUUUUCUAUAAGCAAGCAGAUGAAGACUGGUAUAUGGCAUAUGUUCUGUAUCUCAAAACCUAGAGCUGAUAGAGGAAAAGUGGUGCUAUUUUUGGAAUCAGCAGGCCAAAUAUAUGCAGGAACAGGCCUAACAUUUGAGGCACCAAAAUGUGUAUUGGGCAGUGUUAGGGUUACUAUAACCCCUUUCAACACAAGCCCUCUCUCCCCACAACUUUCGGCAUACCAGAAACCUAGAGUUCGGACAAAUCAAUAUCUCAUUUCUACAGAACUCUGGUGACACCUGAGAAUAAUCGAGCAUUCCCAAGGCCUGGUGUGAGCUGAGAAAUUCACAGUACCUGGUACUUGUUGACUGUAUGCCACUCUAGUACUAACCAGAACUUACCCUACUCAGUUUCCAAGAAAGAAAGAAUCUCGUACCUUCUGCUAGAGCGUGCCAAAUGAAAACUACAUGGUUACCUAUCAGGUUCACUUAAGUAGUGGAUUUUCUGCAUUGGGAAGAAAUUGGAGUUAGCUUUUCAUGUCUCUUCUGAUUCUGUAAUACAUUUUGACUGCAUCAUGCUGGCUUGGCUUUUUCACAGAUCUUAUCAAAUGAAGAAAGAUUUUUUUUGCAAUGUCCCGAUGAAUCUGUUUUAUAACAGCAUCCUUCAUCUACUCCAAGUCACGUCUGGAUUCUAUAAUCAUUGAAUGAAUUAUAAACAUAAGAAAUGUUUUACUUCAACAAUUUCUCAAAAUUUUGAAAAGGAGAUUUCAACCAAUGUGGGGAUAAGAUUAGCUACAGUGGAUGGAAAUUUCCUCUUCUACACUUCUACAAACCGCCCAAUCCUGUGUGGUACAUGGAUACCAAAUGUUGCUAUGCUUUCAACCUGCCAACUGCUGUAGUUGUACAUUACUUAAUAGCCACCCACCACAUAGAUGUUAUCAGGCAAUUGUAUUAAUUGGUAGGCUAUAAUAGCCCCAUUCUUGAGGCGUUGCCAAUGCUAUAUUGCACUUUGUCCAUUUUAACUGUGAAAUUACCUUCCCCAUUUCGGCCCAUUUCGGCACAUGUUGCACGUUGCCUGGGUUCUAUGAAUUAGUCUCCAGUGUUAAUAUUGUAUGUUUUAUGUUGAUUUUAACGAUUGUUUUUACUGUAAUUGAUGUUUUUAUUGGAUAACUGUUUUAUUGCUGUGUUUUGAUAUUUGAUUGUUUUAUCGGGCAAGGCCCCAUGUAAGCCGCCCCGAGUCCCUUCGGGGAGAUGGGGCGGGGUAUAAAAAUAAAGUUAUUAUUAUUAUUAUUAU